rnacentral:lncRNA from 1 species
UGUGCUCUUCCGAUCUGAGAAAACGUAUGAUUAUAAAUGUACCGAACAAUUGUUAGUACUAAACCAGGGAUCGGCAACCUGCGGCUCACAAGGGAACAUCGCACCCGACGUGUCUGGGAUUUCGGCGAUGUUUUGUCAUCUGGAGGAGCAUGGGGAGUGGAUGAGGAAUCGCCCCCAUAUUGGGGGCCGGCACUGGCGUUUUCGAGAAAGAUCGCUUUUGAAAAUUCGGGAGUUUUUGGUUUUACUUGGGUGGCGAGCGCUCGGACAUUUGACUAUAUGUUGUAGUGGCUACGUCGGGGUUCUGACGGUGGGAGGUUGUAGGUUCGU